UACGGAGGAUGCGAGCGUUAUCCGGAUUUAUUGGGUUUAAAGGGUGCGUAGGCGGUCCGUUAAGUCAGCGGUAAAGUUGCGGGGCUCAACCCCGUCGAGCCGUUGAAACUGGCAGACUUGAGUUGGCGAGAAGUACGCGGAAUGCGCGGUGUAGCGGUGAAAUGCAUAGAUAUCGCGCAGAACUCCGAUUGCGAAGGCAGCGUACCGGCGCCACACUGACGCUGAGGCACGAAAGCGUGGGGAUCGAACAGG
rnacentral:rRNA from 1 species